AGAGUUUGAUCCUGGCUCAGGACGAACGCUGGCGGCGUGCUUAACACAUGCAAGUCGAGCGGAGACAAUAUUGCGGAAGUUUUCGGAUGGAAGCGAUAAUGUUUUAGCGGCGGACGGGUGAGUAACGCGUGAGCAACCUUUCUCUCAGUGGGGAAUAACACAGGGAAACUUGUACUAAUACCGCAUGAGACCACGGUAAGGCAUCUUACAGGGGUCAAAGAUUUAUCGCUGAGAGGUGGGCUCGCGUCCGAUUAGGUAGUUGGUGGGGUAACGGCCCACCAAGGCUGCGAUCGGUAGGGGUUCUGAGAGGAAGGCCCCCCACAAUGGGACUGAGACACGGCCCAUACUCCUACGGGAGGCAGCAGUGAGGAAUAUUGGUCAAUGGGCGGAAGCCUGAACCAGCCAUGCCGCGUGCGGGAAGGAGGCCCUAUGGGCUGUGAACCGCUUUUGCCUGGGGGCAAUAAGGGCGUCGCGCACGUCCGAUGAGAGUACCAGGCGAAUAAGCAUCGGCUAACUCCGUGCCAGCAGCCGCGGUAAUACGGGGGAUGCGAGCGUUAUCCGGAUUCAUUGGGUUUAAAGGGUGCGUAGGCUGUGCGUCAAGUCGGGGGUGAAAUUCCGGUGCUCAACACCGGGGCUGCCCUUGAUACUGUCGCGCUGGAGUGCGGAUGCCGCCGGAGGAAUGAGUGGUGUAGCGGUGAAAUGCUUAGAUAUCACUCAGAACACCGAUUGCGAAGGCAUCUGGCGAAUCCGUAACUGACGCUGAGGCACGAAAGCGUGGGGAUAGAACAGGAUUAGAUACCCUGGUAUUCCACGCCGUAAACGAUGAUGGCUAACCGCCGGCGACAGACUGUCGGUGGCCAAGCGAAAGCGAUAAGCCAUCCACCUGGGGAGUACGUCGGCAACGAUGAAACUCAAAGGAAUUGACGGGGGCCCGCACAAGCGGAGGAACAUGUGGUUUAAUUCGAUGAUACGCGAGGAACCUUACCCGGGCUCGAACGGCACCUGGAUCGCCCAGAGAUGGGCGAGUCUUCGGACAGGUGUCGAGGUGCUGCAUGGUUGUCGUCAGCUCGUGCCGUGAGGUGUCGGCUCAAGUGCCAUAACGAGCGCAACCCUUGCCGCCAGUUGCCAUCAGGUGAUGCUGGGCACUCUGGCGGGACUGCCACCGCAAGGUGUGAGGAGGGGGGGGAUGACGUCAAAUCAGCACGGCCCUUACGUCCGGGGCGACACACGUGUUACAAUGGCGGCCACAGAGGGAUGCUACCCCGCGAGGGGAUGCGGAUCUCGAAAAGCCGUCCCAGUUCGGACUGGAGUCUGCAACCCGACUCCACGAAGUUGGAUUCGCUAGUAAUCGCGCAUCAGCCAUGGCGCGGUGAAUACGUUCCCGGGCCUUGUACACACCGCCCGUCAAG
rnacentral:rRNA from 1 species